rnacentral:rRNA from 1 species
UGGGGAAUUUUGGACAAUGGGCGAAAGCCUGAUCCAGCCAUGCCGCGUGAGUGAAGAAGGCCUUCGGGUUGUAAAGCUCUUUCAGGUGGAAAGAAAACGCAUAGGUUAAUACCUUGUGCGGAUGACGGUACCAUCGGAAGAAGCACCGGCUAACUACGUGCCAGCAGCCGCGGUAAUACGUAGGGUGCGAGCGUUAAUCGGAAUUACUGGGCGUAAAGCGUGCGCAGGCGGUUACGUAAGACAGAUGUGAAAUCCCCGGGCUCAACCUGGGAACGUCAUUUGUGACUGGAGAACUAGAGUGCGGAAGAGGGGGGUGGAAUUCCGCGUGUAGCAGUGAAAUGCGUAGAGAUACGGAGGAACACCGGUGGCGAAGGCGGCCUCCUGGUCUGGUACUGACGCUCAUGCACGAAAGCGUGGGGAGCAAACA